rnacentral:rRNA from 1 species
UCGAGCGAACAGACGAGGAGCUUGCUCCUCUGACGUUAGCGGCGGACGGGUGAGUAACACGUGGAUAACCUACCUAUAAGACUGGGAUAACUUCGGGAAACCGGAGCUAAUACCGGAUAAUAUAUUGAACCGCAUGGUUCAAUAGUGAAAGACGGUUUUGCUGUCACUUAUAGAUGGAUCCGCGCCGCAUUAGCUAGUUGGUAAGGUAACGGCUUACCAAGGCAACGAUGCGUAGCCGACCUGAGAGGGUGAUCGGCCACACUGGAACUGAGACACGGUCCAGACUCCUACGGGAGGCAGCAGUAGGGAAUCUUCCGCAAUGGGCGAAAGCCUGACGGAGCAACGCCGCGUGAGUGAUGAAGGUCUUCGGAUCGUAAAACUCUGUUAUUAGGGAAGAACAAAUGUGUAAGUAACUAUGCACGUCUUGACGGUACCUAAUCAGAAAGCCACGGCUAACUACGUGCCAGCAGCCGCGGUAAUACGUAGGUGGCAAGCGUUAUCCGGAAUUAUUGGGCGUAAAGCGCGCGUAGGCGGUUUUUUAAGUCUGAUGUGAAAGCCCACGGCUCAACCGUGGAGGGUCAUUGGAAACUGGAAAACUUGAGUGCAGAAGAGGAAAGUGGAAUUCCAUGUGUAGCGGUGAAAUGCGCAGAGAUAUGGAGGAACACCAGUGGCGAAGGCGACUUUCUGGUCUGUAACUGACGCUGAUGUGCGAAAGCGUGGGGAUCAAACAGGAUUAGAUACCCUGGUAGUCCACGCCGUAAACGAUGAGUGCUAAGUGUUUAGGGGGUUUCCGCCCCUUAGUGCUGCAGCUAACGCAUUAAGCACUCCGCCUGGGGAGUACGACCGCAAGGUUGAAACUCAAAGGAAUUGACGGGGACCCGCACAAGCGGUGGAGCAUGUGGUUUAAUUCGAAGCAACGCGAAGAACCUUACCAAAUCUUGACAUCCUCUGACCCCUCUAGAGAUAGAGUUUUCCCCUUCGGGGGACAGAGUGACAGGUGGUUGCAUGGAUGUCGUCAGCUCGUGUCGUGAGAUGUUGGGUUAGUUCCCGCACGAGC